UACCGGCGGUCCAAGUCGCAGCCACAAUUAUUGGGUCUAAAACAUUCGUAGCUUGUUUAGCCAGUUUCCUGUGAAAUCUAACCUCUCAAGGGUUGGGCGCGCAAGAAAUACUGCUAAGCUAGAGACUGGAAGAAGUAAGAAGUACGAUUGAGGUAGUGGUAAAAUAUUUUAAUCUUAAUCGGACUAACAAUAGCGAAGGCAUCUUACUAGUACAGAUCUGACAGUGAGGAAUGAAGGCUAGGGUCGCAAAACGGAUUAGAUACCCGUGUAGUCCUAGCAGUAAACACUGCUCACUAAACAUUGGGAUCUCCUCGAGAGAUUUCAGUGCUGUAGGGAAGCCGAAGAGUGAGCUACCUGGGAAGUAUAGCCGCAAGGCCGAAACUUAAAGGAAUUGGCGGGGGAGCACUACAACGGGUGACGCGUGCGGUUUAAUUAGAUUUUACACCGUGAACCUUACCAGGAUCGAUAGCAGAAUGAAGGUCAGUCUAAAGGGCUUACCUGACACGCUAAGAGGAGUUGCAUGGCCGACGUCAGCCUGUGUUGUGAGAUGACCUGUUAAAUCAGGUAACAGGCGAGACCCAUGUGUAUAGUUACUACGAAAGAGCACACUAUACAGACUGCCUGGGCAACCAGGAGGAAGGUAUGGGCUACGUUAGGUGGGUACAGCCUAAAUACCCUGGGAUACACGCGCGCGGCAAUGUUAGAUACAGCGAGACGCAACUCUGAAAAGAGAAGCAAAUCUCAUAAAAUCUAGCCUAGUUCAGAUUGAAGUUUGUAACUCAACUUCAUGACGAUGGAAUCCGUAGUAAUCGUUUGUUAUCAGCGAACGGUGAAUAAGUCCCUGCUCCU
rnacentral:rRNA from 1 species